UAGAGCAAAGAGAAUGCGUCGAUCGGCGAGCGCCUCCAUAGUUUCCGACCAAUUAUCAGCCAACACUCCGUCUCCAUCACCGUCUCCGCCGCGAAUUCACAGCGUCACAUCUUCGGAAGAUGCCCUUCUUCUUCUGCCUCGCUACGACCCUAACUCUUACCCCGGAAAAAAGGACAAAUCGCGACUCAGAUCCGCCGAGAACGCUAUCCAUUUCAUUCCUCUCGUUCUCAUUCUCUGCGCCGUUAUACUUUGGAUGUUUUCGAAUCCAGGUAAAAUUGUUUCCUCUGAGAUCUCCUCUGUUUCGCUGAUUGUUGUCUGUUUAUUUGUGAUGGUCCUCGAAUCCGAUUGAUUGAGAAUGAUUUCUAUCUUGUUGUGAUAAGACUUGUGUUUAUCAAUGAGCAAACAGUGACGAUUGGCUUACAUGGUGGAAACUGGAAAGACAGAGUUUGAUGACUUGAACGGACGAUUAUUAGAGAUUAUUUAAUAAAAGGAUCUGUUUUUACAUACAUUU